rnacentral:tRNA from 1 species
GGGAGUGUUGCUCAAUAGUAGAGCUCUUACCUAGAAUGAAUGAGGUCCUGGGUUCCAUCCCCAGCACUGCAA